AUUGAACGCCGGCGGCAGGCCUAACACAUGCAAGUCGAGCGGAUGAAGGGAGCUUGCUCCUGGAUUCAGCGGCGGACGGGUGAGUAAUGCCUAGGAAUCUGCCUGGUAGUGGGGGAUAACGUCCGGAAACGGGCGCUAAUACCGCAUACGUCCUGAGGGAGAAAGUGGGGGAUCUUCGGACCUCACGCUAUCAGAUGAGCCUAGGUCGGAUUAGCUAGUUGGUGGGGUAAAGGCCUACCAAGGCGACGAUCCGUAACUGGUCUGAGAGGAUGAUCAGUCACACUGGAACUGAGACACGGUCCAGACUCCUACGGGAGGCAGCAGUGGGGAAUAUUGGACAAUGGGCGAAAGCCUGAUCCAGCCAUGCCGCGUGUGUGAAGAAGGUCUUCGGAUUGUAAAGCACUUUAAGUUGGGAGGAAGGGCAGUAAGUUAAUACCUUGCUGUUUUGACGUUACCAACAGAAUAAGCACCGGCUAACUUCGUGCCAGCAGCCGCGGUAAUACGAAGGGUGCAAGCGUUAAUCGGAAUUACUGGGCGUAAAGCGCGCGUAGGUGGUUCAGCAAGUUGGAUGUGAAAUCCCCGGGCUCAACCUGGGAACUGCAUCCAAAACUACUGAGCUAGAGUACGGUAGAGGGUGGUGGAAUUUCCUGUGUAGCGGUGAAAUGCGUAGAUAUAGGAAGGAACACUAGUGGCGAAGGCGACCACCUGGACUGAUACUGACACUGAGGUGCGAAAGCGUGGGGAGCAAACAGGAUUAGAUACCCUGGUAGUCCACGCCGUAAACGAUGUCGACUAGCCGUUGGGAUCCUUGAGAUCUUAGUGGCGCAGCUAACGCGAUAAGUCGACCGCCUGGGGAGUACGGCCGCAAGGUUA
rnacentral:rRNA from 1 species